rnacentral:rRNA from 1 species
UACGUAGGGUGCAAGCGUUAAUCGGAAUUACUGGGCGUAAAGCGUGCGCAGGCGGUUAUGCAAGACAGAUGUGAAAUCCCCCGGGCUCAACCUGGGAACUGCAUUUGUGACUGCAUGGCUAGAGUACGGUAGAGGGGGAUGGAAUUCCGCGUGUAGCAGUGAAAUGCGUAGAUAUGCGGAGGAACACCGAUGGCGAAGGCAAUCCCCUGGACCUGUACUGACGCUCAUGCACGAAAGCGUGGGGAGCAACAGG